AAAAGUUCAGUUUAGCGUUUAAAACCCUAAUGCUGACUAAAGGAAGAAGUUCAGUUUAGGGUUUAAAACCCUAACGCUGAUUGCAUGGAAAAGCUCAGUUUGGGGUUUAAAACCCUAAUGCUGGCUAAAUGGAAAAAAGUUCAGUUUAGGGUUUAAAACCCUAAUGUUGAUUAAAGGAAAAAGUUCAGUUUAGGUUUUAAAACCCUAAUGCUGACUGAAUGGAAAAAAGUUCAGUUUAGGGUUUAAAACCCUAAUGCUGACUAUAGGAAAAAUUCAGUUUAGGGUUUAAAACCCUAAUGAUGAUGGCAUGGAAAAGCUUAGUUUAGGGUUUAAAACCCUAAUGCUGGCUGAAUGGAAAAAAGUUCAGUUCAGGGUAUAAAACCUUAAUGCUGAUUGCAUGGAAAAAUUCAGUUUAGGGUUUAAAACCCUAAUGCUGACUAAAUGGAAAAAAGUUCAGUUUAGGGUUUAAAACACUAAUGCUGACUAAAGGAAGAAGUUCAGUUUAGGGUUUAAAACCCUAACGCUGAUUGCAUGAAAAAGCUCAGUUUAGGGUUUAAAACCCUAAUGAUGGCUAAAUGGAAAAAAGUUCAGUUUAGGGUUUAAAACCAUAAUGCUGACUAAAGGAAGAAUUUCAGUUUAGGGUUUAAAACACUAACGCUGAUUGCAUGGAAAAGCUCAGUUUAGGGUUUAAAACCCUAAUGCUGGCUGAAUGGAAAAAAGUUCAGUUAGGGUUUAUAACCCUAAUGAUGAUUAAAGGAAAAAGUUCAGUUUAGGGUUUAAAACCCUAAUGUUGACUAAAGGAAAAGUUCAGCUUAGGGUUUAAAACCCUAAUGCUGACUGAAAGGAAAGAGUUCAGUUUAGGGUUUAAAACCCUAAUGCUGAUUGCAUGGAAAAGCUCAGUUUAGGGUUUAAAACCCUAAUGCUGGCUGAAUGGAAAAAAGUUCAGUUUAGGGUUUAAAACCCUAAUGCUGAUUGCAGGAAAAAGUUCAGUUUAGGGUUUAAAACCCUAAUGCUGACUAAAGGAAAAGUUCAGUUUAGGGUUUAAAACCCUAAUGCUAACUGAAAGGAAAGAGUUCAGUUUAGGGUUUAAAACCCUAAUGCUGAUUGCAUGGAAAAGCUCAGUUUAGGGUUUAAAACCCUAAUGCUGGCUGAAUGGAAAAAAGUUCAGUUUAGGGUUUAAAACCCUAAUGCUGAUUGCAUGGAAAAGCUCAGUUUAGGGUUUAAAACCCUAAUGAUGAUUGCAUGGAAAAGCUCAGUUUAGGGUUUAAAACCCUAAUGCUGGCUGAAUGGAAAAAAGUUCAGUUUAGGGUUUAAAACCCUAAUGCUGACUGAAUGGAAAAAAGUUCAGUUUAGGGUUUAAAACCCUAAUGCUGACUGAAUGGAAAAGCUCAGUUUAGGGUUUAAAACCCUAAUGCUGACUGAAUGGAAAAAAGUUCAGUUUAGGGUUUAAAACCCUAAUGCUGAUUGAAUGGAAAAAGUUCAGUUUAGGGUUUAAAACCCUAAUGCUGAUUGAAUGGAAAAAAGUUCAGUUUAGGGUUUAAAACCCUAAUGCUGACUAAAGGAAAAAUUCAGUUUAGGGUUUAAAACCCUAAUGAUGAUUGCAUGGAAAAGCUCAGUUUAGGGUUUAAAACCCUAAUGCUGGCUGAAUGGAAAAAAGUUCAGUUUAGGGUUUAAAACCCUAAUGCUGAUUGCAUGGAAAAAGUUCAGUUUAGGGUUUAAAACCCUAAUGCUGACUAAAGGAGAAGUUCAGUUUAGGGUUUAAAACCCUAAUGCUGACUGAAUGGAAAAAAGUUCAGUUUAGGGUUUUAAAACCCUAAUGCUGACUAAAGGAAAAGUUCAGUUUAGGGUUUAAAACCCUAAUGCUGACUGAAUGGAAAAAAGUUCAGUUUAGGGUUUAAAACCCUAAUGCUGAUUGCAUGGAAAAGCUCAGUUUAGGGUUUAAAACCCUAAUGCUGAUUGCAUGGAAAAGCUCAGUUUAGGGUUUAAAACCCUAAUGCUGAUUGCAUGGAAAAGCUCAGUUUAGGGUUUAAAACCAUAAUGUUGGCUGAAUGGAAAAAAGUUCAGAUUAGGGUUUAAAACCCUAAUGCUAAUU
rnacentral:lncRNA from 1 species